GGGGAGACAAUCAGGUCAAUACUUCCAGAAUUGUCGGAACAUAGUAAGUGUGCCUGCCAAAACUUUUACUUUAGCAGUAAUAACUGGAGAAUAAACUUUUACUUGUCAACGCAGUGGCUAUUUGUCAAUGCAAGGACUUUUUUCAGAGAAAUCAGAUGUUUUUAGCUUUGGUGUUUUGGUACUAGAGAUCGUUAGCGGGAGAAGAAACUCAAGCUUUUAUGACAAUGAGCAUGCUCUGAGUCUUGUAGGAUUUGUAAGCAUUAACAGUUCAUUACUGGCUCAAUAAUAUGCUAUUUUUUCCUUUUGCUACCGCAACUUACAAAUAUUUGAAAUUUGCUUUUGCUUUUCAUUUAGGUCUGGAUACAAUGGAGGGAAGGAAAUAUUUUAUCUUUAAUAGAUCCAGAAAUAUAUGAUCAUAGUCAUGAUAAGAAUAUUUCGAGAUGCUUACAUAUAGGACUGUUAUGUGUACAAGAAUCGGCUGUAGACAGGCCUAAUAUGGCUACAGUAAUUUCUAUGCUUAACAAUGAGGUUGCAUCACUUCCUCCUCCAAGUCAACCUGCAUUCAUCCUAAGGCAGUAUAUGUUGAAUUCAAAGUCGCCUGAAGAAAAUCAAAUUGUCUGUUCCAUUAAUAAUGUCAGUAUUACAGAUUUAUGUGGUAGAUAGCACACUAGAGACUAUGAAAGGAUUUGGAGGUUUAUAGAUAUUUGGCCAAUAAUAGAAUCUUUGUUAAUGUAUUUGUGACAAAAGAAAACUCUAGUGUAAUGGAAGACAUAGAACACAAGUUUUUAUCUUUGCUAGAACACAAGUGUAAUGGAUAUUAUGGAACAGAGUUUGCGACCUUUGUUUUCUAGUUCGACUUCUUCCUCAUCAUCCAUCAAAACUAUCCAAAUAUUUUUAUGCAGCAAUUGAUACCAGACCAAAGGCUCAUGAUACCAAUUGAGAUGGGAAAAUGGAUUCUAGGGACAAAGCGAUAAAAUCCGAGUCUCACUAGUAGGUAUUUUAUUGGUUUAGAAUAGAAUCCGAUACAGAGGAGAAAUUGGGAGAUGAAUAUUGUAGAGUGAUAGUUUUUGAGUGAAGAUUUUUGUUGAAAUGUUGAUUGAUUGCAAAUGAAAUAUAAUGAGGCACAAAGCCAAGUUUAAAUACAAUCUCAAGACUAAAGGAGUAAAAUGACAUAAAGUAAAUCUAAUACCUUAAAUAGGCUAAUUCGCCUCCACCUAUUUAAUCACUGUUACAUUCUUGAUUCUUCCACUGCUUCGACAUUGACGACAAACCGAUCAAAACCACAACGAUACUUGGCCACCACCUUUGCAGCAUAUUAUUUGCACGAUUGAAACAAUGAAGAACAGGAAGAUCCAAAAUCAGUUGAUGGAUUGGUUUGAUUUGAAUGGCUCACAAUUUGAUUUAGUUUGGAGCUCAUUGCUUCAGAUUAUAGGCCUUUAAAGCAAUUUAACCUCAACCAUAGUAUUUUUUUGCAAUUACUGAUGGAAAUUAAUCAUGAUAGUGGUUAAUAUCAGUGUCACAGGUUGAAAAUAACACAUGUGAGAACCAUGGAUUCAAAUUGGGGCCAAGUUCAUGAUAUAAGCAAAUUGGGAAUUAUGGUCCACAAUUACAGUUUUGGUAUAAAAUGAUUUUUUUGCAAUAUUCUGAGUUCCUGUCAAAGAAGUGAGUUCUCAAAUAACAAAAACUCUUGUAACCUUCUGUGACAAGUCAAACUGGAGGUGCACUGGUAUACACCAUCUAAAUUGGUGGAUCUUAGUCUCCA
rnacentral:lncRNA from 1 species